ACGUGUUACAGGUGUGAUGAUAUUGACAUCUUAAAGGUGUGAUGUAGCUGAUGUGUUACAGAUGUGUUACAGGCGUGUUGUAGUUGACAUGUUACAGGUUUGUUGUAGUAGAUGUGUUACAGAUAUGUUGUAGUACACGUGUUACAGGCGUGUUGUAGUUGACAUGUUACAGGUUUGUUGUAGUAGAUGUGUUACAGAUAUGUUGUAGUACACGUGUUACAGGUUUGUUGUAGUUGAUGUGUUACAGAUGUGUUGAUGUUGAUGUGUUACAGGCGUGUUGUAGUUGACAUGUUACAGGUUUGUUGUAGUAGAUGUGUUACAGAUAUGUUGUAGUACACGUGUUACAGGCGUGUUGUAGUUGACAUGUUACAGGUUUGUUGUAGUAGAUGUGUUACAGAUAUGUUGUAGUACACGUGUUACAGGCGUGUUGUAGUUGGCGUGUUACAGGCUUU